CAGUAGCCGCGGGAAUACAGAGGGUGCGAGCGUUAAUCGGAUUUACUGGGCGUAAAGCGUGCGUAGGCGGCUUCUUAAGUCGGAUGUGAAAUCCCUGAGCUUAACUUAGGAAUUGCACUCGAUACUGGGAAGCUAGAGUAUGGGAGAGGAUGGUAGAAUUCCAGGUGUAGCGGUGAAAUGCGUAGAGAUCUGGAGGAAUACCGAUGGCGAAGGCAGCCAUCUGGCCUAAUACUGACGCUGAGGUACGAAAGCAUGGGGAGCAAACAGGAUUAGAUACCCCCGUAGUCCCUGUCUCUUAUAC
rnacentral:rRNA from 1 species